rnacentral:rRNA from 1 species
UACAGAGGGGGCGAGCGUUAUUCGGAAUUAUUGGGCGUAAAGGGCGCGUAGGCGGCGUUUCAAGUGACGGGUGAAAUCCCUCGGCUUAACCGAGGAACUGCCUGUCAGACUGGAAGGCUUGAGACCGGGAGAGGUGAGUGGAAUUCCCAGUGUAGCGGUGAAAUGCGUAGAUAUUGGGAGGAACACCAGUGGCGAAGGCGGCUCACUGGACCGGUACUGACGCUGAGGCGCGAAAGCGUGGGGAGCGAACAGG